rnacentral:rRNA from 1 species
ACCCGCUGAACUUAAGCAUAUCAAUAAGCGGAGGAAAAGAAACCAACAGGGAUUGCCCUAGUAACGGCGAGUGAAGCGGCAACAGCUCAAAUUUGAAAUCUGGCGUCUUUGGCGUCCGAGUUGUAAUUUGCAGAGGGCGCUUUGGCAUUGGCAGCGGUCCAAGUUCCUUGGAACAGGACGUCACAGAGGGUGAGAAUCCCGUACGUGGUCGCUAGCCUUUACCGUGUAAAGCCCCUUCGACGAGUCGAGCUGUUUGGGAAUGCAGCUCUAAAUGGGAGGUAGAUUUCUUCUAAAGCUAAAUACUGGCCAGAGACCGAUAGCGCACAAGUAGAGUGAUCGAAAGAUGAAAAGCACUUUGGAAAGAGAGUUAAAAAGCACGUGAAAUUGUUGAAAGGGAAGCGCUUGCAGCCAGACUUGCCUGUAGUUGCUCAUCCGGGUUUUUACCCGGUGCACUCUUCUAUAGGCAGGCCAGCAUCAGUUUGGGCGGUUGGAUAAAGGUCUCUGUCAUGUACCUCUCUUCGGGGAGAACUUAUAGGGGAGACGACAUGCAACCAGCCCGGACUGAGGUCCGCGCAUCUGCUAGGAUGCUGGCGUAAUGGCUGU